CCUACGGGUGGCUGCAGUGGGGAAUAUUGCACAAUGGGGGAAACCCUGAUGCAGCAACGCCGCGUGAGUGAUGAAGGUUUUCGGAUCGUAAAGCUCUGUCUUCAGGGACGAUAAUGACGGUACCUGAGGAGGAAGCCACGGCUAACUACGUGCCAGCAGCCGCGGUAAUACGUAGGUGGCGAGCGUUGUCCGGAUUUACUGGGCGUAAAGGGAGCGUAGGCGGACUUUUAAGUGAGAUGUGAAAUACUCGGGCUCAACCCGGGGGCUGCAUUUCAAACUGGGAGUCUAGAGUGCAGGAGAGGAGAGUGGAAUUCCUAGUGUAGCGGUGAAAUGCGUAGAGAUUAGGAAGAACACCAGUGGCGAAGGCGACUCUCUGGACUGUAACUGACGCUGAGGCUCGAAAGCGUGGGGAGCAAACAGGAUUAGAUACCCCAGUAGUC
rnacentral:rRNA from 1 species